AGGGAAUUCCAGUAGGACAUUGUUGUUUAUCCAUUCUGUAUAUACAAGUUUGCAUCUGCUAAUCCCAAACUCCCAAUCCACCCCUCUCCCACCCCCUCCGCCUUGGCAUUAAAUGUCUUUAUAGGCAAUAUUUCCCUUUUUAAAGGACCAAACAAUAUCAAAUGACAGACUUUUCUCUGACUUCUUUAUUAUUUUACAGAUUCAUUGCAGAAGUUCCAUUUUCUGAUUCCAGCUCCCUUCAAUAAAAAUUAAGUCCUUUUCCAAGGUUUGCAAAUGAUAGUAAGUGUACCCAAAGCUCUUCAGAGAAGCUAUUCUGAGCAAUUUCUUUACCAAGUUGUGCCCAAACAAAAUAACAAAUACAGCUAAAUUUUCCCUGCAUGUGUUGGCAAUUCAGUACUUUCCAUUAGUACAAAGCAAAUAGUAAUUGUGUGUCUUGAGUGUUUUUCAGAUAUCAUUUCAUUUCCCUGACUGUCUACAAAGUUCUCCUGUUUUUAUACAUCCUUUACAGAUGGAGAAUGUGAAGUUAAAUAAGGGUCUGGGGGCAGGAUUCCAUUUCAGGGUCCAGGAUUUAGUAUAAGUAUCAGGAUAUUAAUAUUUUAUUUUUAGGACACUCAGUAAGUGAAGUAGCAGACAUGGGCUAACCAACCAGUUCAUUCACCCUCAAUUGUGAAGAUAAAAAUUUUAACUUCAGCUUUUUUGUGACGUGGUUUAAUAGUGUUGAUCUUAAAAGAGCAAAAGAGCCGCUCAUUUUACCAGCAAGAUUAUGCCAGCCACUUUGGCCAGUUAUCAAGGUCCCUGGGCAUUCCAAGCUUGAUUCCCUGGAGGUUGAAGGAAACCACCUCCCUGAUAUUUCUGAAAAGAACGCUACUAUCAAAGGAACCAACAACUAAACCUCUGCCGUGUGUUUGGUCAGGCUGUUUUCUUGCUCUUUGUACAUCCUCUGCUUGACCAGCCCCUGCUUCCCCUACACCCUACUUGCUCCCAGCCCCAGCUAGUGAUUGCUAAUCCUUAGGCCAGAACGGCUCCACCUGCUGGUUUAUUAAAGGGAAACACCUGCCCUCAUGAUGGUCAUUAACGUGGGGGGCUGUGAGGGACGUGUCCCAGCUGUUCUCCAUAGUGGCUGCACCAAUUUACAUUCCCUGGCAAGAGUAUGGCAUCUAAUAAUUCCUGAACAUAAGGGCCAUUUUAAAUUUGGUCCCCACUGGAAGUGAGGAAGCCUCACUCUUUCCAUAGCAUUCCAAAGUCAUAAGCUACUCCAAAGCAUAUCUACCGUCUGUAGAGAUAUUUACAGCUUUACCCUCGGCCAAAACGCAGGCCCAAGCAAGAGCGUACAGUUCAGCCUAUUGGGCUGACGUAGCCAAGGACAAAGGUGCUGCCUUGAUGGCUUCAAAAGAGUUACAAGAGCAUACCCAGCAUAAUACUUACCGUGUUCACCUUUUAAAUAAGAACCAUUGGUAAACCCACAAAAAGUCAGUGUUAUCCAAAAGGAGUUCCCUAUAAGUCAUCACGGGCGUCAGGAGGUAAUCUGUCAGAGUCAGUCAUGAGGAAUAUUGUCCAUAGAGGAGGGGAGAAGAGUGGCAGUGUUAAGAUUAUUACAGCGAGAAAGAGCUGUUAGCAAAAGAUUUCACAGGCCAAGCAAGGGCAGGGGAAUUUAUCAAGCUUUUCCAAUUUCAAGAGUAGCCAACUAGCCCAAGCUUAGCUUUGAGUUUGGGGACGUUCAGGAUGCCAUGAAACCUAUUUGGAUCUAAAUGUAACCCUUGUUUUGAGAUCAGGUGCCCCAACUAUGAAAUCUGAGUUUGAACAAACUGCAGUUUUCCCUUGGAGACUUUGUGUCCCUUAAAGGCUAAAAAUUUUAACAGGUAGAUGCUGUCCUGCAAAGAGGCCUGAGAAAGGAAGCAGAGAAGCAAGUUGUUUACCUAUUGAAAUAAACUAGAGGAUCCAGGUUGGUGAUAAUCAGACCUGAAGUUGUUUUAUAGAGACAGCACUGUGCAUGUGCAAGAUGGGAACCCAUGUCUCCAGGAUGAGCCCAGAACCAAAUAUCUUCAGUCUGUGGAACUCAAAGAAUAGAAGUGUUGCCACCAGAGGGCUUUAAGAAGGGAGAGGUCCUAAAAUAAGGAAAAUCUGGCUUCCAGCAGCCUAAGUACCUUGAUUAUCAUAUAUGUACUGAUUUGAGGCUAUCCAAUCAACUUCUGCCAAGUUUGAAAUUCCCCUAACCCCCUAACCCGGGAUCAAGGAGACAGAGUUGAGCCCUGCCUUCUAUCUGCUUGCCAUUCAACCUCACAAUAAAGCUCUUUUUUUUUCAAAA